rnacentral:rRNA from 1 species
GAGUGAACGCUGGCGGUAGGCCUAACACAUGCAAGUCGAACGGCAGCACAGUAAGAGCUUGCUCUUACGGGUGGCGAGUGGCGGACGGGUGAGGAAUACAUCGGAAUCUACUUUUUCGUGGGGGAUAACGUAGGGAAACUUACGCUAAUACCGCAUACGACCUACGGGUGAAAGCAGGGGAUCUUCGGACCUUGCGCGAUUGAAUGAGCCGAUGUCGGAUUAGCUAGUUGGCGGGGUAAAGGCCCACCAAGGCGACGAUCCGUAGCUGGUCUGAGAGGAUGAUCAGCCAAACUUGAACCGAGAAACGGUCCAGACUCCUAAGGGAGGGAGCCGUGGGGAAUAGUGGACAAUGGGGGCAAGCCCUAACCAGCCAUACCGCGUGGGUUAAGAAGGGCUUUGGGUUGGAAAGCCCUUUUGUUGGGAAAGAAAAGCAGCAGGUUAAUACCCCGCUUGUCUGACGGUACCCAAAGAAUAAGCACCGGCUAACUUCGUG